rnacentral:snoRNA from 1 species
UUUGGGAAAUGAUGAACAUUAUUCAUCUCAGAUGUCCUUUAUGGAUUUAUUUCAGAAUGAUGAAAAUUUGCACGUCAGUCUGAUCCCAAA